AUUGAACGCUGGCGGCAGGCCUAACACAUGCAAGUCGAGCGGUAACACAGGGAGCUUGCUCCCGGGUGACGAGCGGCGGACGGGUGAGUAAUGUCUGGGAAACUGACUGAUGGAGGGGGAUAACUACUGGAAACGGUAGCUAAUACCGCAUAAUGUCGCAAGACCAAAGAGGGGGACCUUCGGGCCUCUUGCCAUCAGAUGUGCCCAGAGGGGAUUAGCUAGUAGGUGGGGGAACGGCUCACCUAGGCGACGAGCCCUAGCUGGUCUGAGAGGAAGACCAGCCACACGGGAACUGAGACACGGUCCAGACUCCUACGGGAGGCAGCAGUGGGGAAUAUUGCACAAUGGGCGCAAGCCUGAUGCAGCCAUGCCGCGUGUAUGAAGAAGGCCUUCGGGUUGUAAAGUACUUGCAGCGGGGAGGAAGGUGUUGAGGUUAAUAACCUCAGCAAUUGACGUUACCCGCAGAAGAAGCACCGGCUAACUCCGUGCCAGCCGCCGCAGUAA
rnacentral:rRNA from 1 species